GUUCUUGCUUCAGCGGCACAUAUAAUAAAAUUCGAACAAUACGGAGAAGAUUAGCAUGGCCCCUGGGUGUAGAUGACACAUAAAAAUUAAACUUUGCCCUGAUUUAU
ensembl:snRNA U6 U6 spliceosomal RNA